GAGUUUGAUCCUGGCUCAGAUUGAACGCUGGCGGCAUGCCUUACACAUGCAAGUCGAACGGCAGCACGGGGGCAACCCUGGUGGCGAGUGGCGAACGGGUGAGUAAUACAUCGGAACGUGUCCUGUAGUGGGGGAUAGCCCGGCGAAAGCCGGAUUAAUACCGCAUACGCUCUACGGAGGAAAGGGGGGGAUCUUAGGACCUCCCGCUACAGGGGCGGCCGAUGGCAGAUUAGCUAGUUGGUGGGGUAAAGGCCUACCAAGGCGACGAUCUGUAGCUGGUCUGAGAGGACGACCAGCCACACUGGGACUGAGACACGGCCCAGACUCCUACGGGAGGCAGCAGUGGGGAAUUUUGGACAAUGGGGGCAACCCUGAUCCAGCAAUGCCGCGUGUGUGAAGAAGGCCUUCGGGUUGUAAAGCACUUUUGUCCGGAAAGAAAACGUCGUGGUUAAUACCCGUGGCGGAUGACGGUACCGGAAGAAUAAGCACCGGCUAACUACGUGCCAGCAGCCGCGGUAAUACG
rnacentral:rRNA from 1 species